rnacentral:rRNA from 1 species
GUUUCCUACGGGGCGCAGCAGUGGGGAAUAUUGCACAAUGGAGGGAACUCUGAUGCAGCGACGCCGCGUGAGUGAAGAAGUAAUUCGUUAUGUAAAGCUCUAUCAGCAGGGAAGAAAGUGACGGUACCUGACUAAGAAGCCCCGGCUAACUACGUGCCAGCAGCCGCGGUAAUACGUAGGGGGCAAGCGUUAUCCGGAUUUACUGGGUGUAAAGGGAGCGUAGACGGCAGCGCAAGUCUGGAGUGAAAUGCCGGGGCCCAACCCCGGAACUGCUUUGGAACCUGUGCGGCUCGAGUGCGG